AUUGAACGCUGGCGGCAGGCCUAACACAUGCAAGUCGAGCGAGCGGCGGACGGGUGAGUAAUGUCUGGGAAACUGCCUGAUGGAGGGGGAUAACUACUGGAAACGGUAGCUAAUACCGCAUACCAUCAGAUGUGCCCAGAUGGGUUCGGCUGGUGGGUGGGGUAACGGCUCACCUAGGCGACGAUCCCUAGCUGGUCUGCGAGGGUGACCAGCCACACUGGAACUGGGACACGGUCCAGACUCCUACGGGGGGCAGCGUUGGGGAAUAUUGGACAAUGAGCGCAAGCCUGCUGCAGCCAUGCCGCGUGUGUGAGGAAGGCCUUCGGGUUGUAAAGCACUUUCAGCGGGGAGGCGUUACCCACAGAAGAAGCACCGGCUAACUCCGUGCCAGCAGCCGCGGUAAUAC
rnacentral:rRNA from 1 species